UCGCUUCAGGAGGAGCCCGCGGCUGAUUAGCUAGUUGGUGAGGUAAUGGCCCACCAAGGCUACGAUCAGUAUCCGGUCUGAGAGGACGGUCGGACACACUGGAACUGAGACACGGUCCAG
rnacentral:rRNA from 1 species